AUUGAAAGCCCAACAAACAGCUGGACCGAUUGGGAUGACAUUUUUUGGGGACACUCAUAGAGUAUGGUGCUGAAUACAGACUCCACAUAAUCAAACUCAAUCGUUCAAUGUCCUCCACUCCCUCACAGUUCUGCUGUUGACAGU